GAUGAACGCUAGCGACAGGCUUAACACAUGCAAGUCGAGGGGCAGCGGGGGCGGAAGCUUGCUUUCGCCCGCCGGCGACCGGCGCACGGGUGAGUAACACGUAUGCAACCUGGCCGCCACAGGGGGAUAACCCGCGGAAACGCGGCCUAAUACCCCGUGACGCCACCGGAGGGCAUCCUCCGGUGGCCAAAGGAGCGAUCCGGUGGCGGAUGGGCAUGCGGCGCAGUAGCUAGACGGCGGGGUGACGGCCCACCGUGGCGACGAUGCGUAGGGGUUCUGAGAGGAAGGCCCCCCACACUGGUACUGAGACACGGACCAG
rnacentral:rRNA from 1 species